rnacentral:rRNA from 1 species
AUGACUGAUUUGGGUUCUCUUCGCUACUUUCUUGGACUUGAGAUCAUUUCUUCCCCUGAGGGUAUUUAUCUCUCUCAAGAGAAGUACAUCCACGAUCUUCUCACUCGUGCCUGCCUCACUGAUCAACGCACGGUUGACACUCCUAUGGAGUUUGGUCUCCAUCUUCGUCCUGGUGAGGGUGAACCCCUUGCAGAUGCCACACACUACCGCCAUCUUGUUGGGAGCCUUGUCUAUCUAGGCAUCACUCGUCCUAACAUUUCUUAUGCUGUGCACAUUCUGAGUCAGUUUGUCUCUGCUCCCACUCAACUUCACUACAGUCACCUUCUUCGUGUUCUUCGUUACCUUCUGUGGUACUGUGACUCGUCGCUUAUUCUUCCCUCGCUCCAGCUCUCUUCAGCUUCAGGCCUACUGUGA